UCUUUUUGUAGUUCAUAAGUGUGAUUUUCACACCACUGUGUAAUAUGUGCUUCCCUCAGACCUUGUUAUAAUGUUAGCAUAUUACCCAUCUGAU
rnacentral:snoRNA from 1 species